AUUGAACGCUGGCGGCAUGCCUUACACAUGCAAGUCGAACGGCAGCACGGGAGCAAUCCUGGUGGCGAGUGGCGAACGGGUGAGUAAUAUAUCGGAACGUGCCCAGUCGUGGGGAUAACGUAGCGAAAGCUACGCUAAUACCGCAUACGAUCUAUGGAUGAAAGCGGGGGAUCGCAAGACCUCGCGCGAUUGGAGCGGCCGAUAUCAGAUUAGGUAGUUGGUGAGGUAAAGGCUCACCAAGCCGACGAUCUGUAGCUGGUCUGAGAGGACGACCAGCCACACUGGGACUGAGACACGGCCCAGACUCCUACGGGAGGCAGCAGUGGGGAAUUUUGGACAAUGGGCGCAAGCCUGAUCCAGCAAUGCCGCGUGCAGGAUGAAGGCCUGGUUGUAA
rnacentral:rRNA from 1 species